GACCCCAGGAUCAUGACCUGAGCCGAAGGCAGAUAGAUGCCCAACCACCGAGCCACCCAGAAUCUUGCUAGAAGGGAAGUUAAUGCCUUGGGAGCCUGAGUUGGGAAUUCUUAUUCACACUCAUCUAUUCAAGAAGCAGCAGUGGAAGCAAUCAUUCCUCAUGGCCAUCAUCCUUCCCACAUCCCAGGGGUUUCAACAGGGAAAUAGAGGCUACUCCUCUCAAAAAAUGAGAAGCAAACGCAUAGAUAAUGAGAAUGCCCCUCACAUCCCUCCUGCUGCCCAGAAGUCAGAGGUUGGACACUCGCUAGUGUCACCUAAGAAACAGAAGAAGGAGGGGUACACCAACUGCAGGCCCUCUUGCUGACACGAUGAGAUUGCACAGCACAUUGGUAUUGGUGUGGGUGUCCUGGGAAGUUCAACAAACUCAGAG